rnacentral:rRNA from 1 species
AUUGAACGCUGGCGGCAGGCCUAACACCUGCAAGUCGAACGAGUGGCGGACGGGUGAGUAAUGUCUGGGAAACUGCCUGAUGGAGGGGGAUAACUACUGGAAACGGUAGCUAAUACCGCAUACCAUCGGAUGUGCACAGAUGGGAUUAGCUAGUAGGGGGGGUAAAGGCUCACCUAGGCGACGAUCCCUAGCUGGUCUGAGAGGAUGACCAGCCACACUGGAACUGAGACACGGUCCAGACUCCUACGUGAGGCAGGAGGGGGGAAUAUGUCACAAUGGGUGCAAGCCUGAUGCAGCAAUGCCGGGUGUAUGAAGAAGGCCUUAGGUUUGUAAAUUACUUUCAGCGGUGAGGCAUUACCCGCAGAAGAAGGACGGGCUAACUCCGUGCCAGCAGCGCGGUAAUAC